AAAAGUAUAAGUUUCGCAUAAUGGCAAAAAAGUAUAAAGUUGAACUUAUACUUUCAAUAAGGAAUGAAACUGAACUGAUAAAGACAAACAUGGCGAUUGGAAGUUGUGGAAAGGAGAUCGUGUUGAUUCUGGGAAACUUCCACUGUGUGAUUCGGUCAAAUGUGUAUGCAAGCAAAAACCAACGAAAAAAAGUGGAUCCGAUUCAGUUUUCGGUCGGUUUGCAAAACUAGGUAUGAGCAUGAAUAGUUAGCGCAAUCUGAUAAGUUUCAUAUGCGUCGUGAUUAUAUACCGAAGAAUAGGAAGCAGUUCAAGAAUCAUCCAUCAGGAAAUGAUGCCGUUUGUUACAGACACCCACUUCAGCGGAUUCUUUUGCUCUGCAAAUCCUGUUGCAUACAUCGGACCUAAUCGGAAGCUCUGAUGUCGCUGAGAUCUAAUUAUUACUGACGGAAUUGGACAGUAGCAGUAUAUACCGGUAGAAGCAGCAUAGCACGGUAGUAGCAGCAGCGGCAACAGAAGUUCUCUUCUGCAGAACUCUCCGAUUAUGCCUGAUGCAGGCAGCAUGAUUGGCAAAGCAAUAAGAUCAGAUGGAGCUGGUGACUGUGUUUAACAGCGGUAUCUUAAUCCCCGAUGGAUGAUCCUACUCUGACGAUGACUAAAUGGGUGUAUCGGGUGUAUGCUUCCUUUUCGUAGGAGAAUUUAUCAACAGCUGAUGAAAUAUUUCAUGUUCCGGCAACGAUCACGAGUCAAGAAGAAAUCGGGAAUUAAAUAUCUUGCGUGCAAAGUAAAUAAUAUAUAAUGAAAA